CAUGCAAGUCGAGCGAGAAACUUACUUUUGAUCUUUCGAGUGAAAAAGUGAGCGGACAGCGGCGAAAGGGAGAGUAACGCGUAGAUCACGUACCCAAGGGCUCGGAAUAGCGGGGGGAAACCGCCGGUAAUGCCGAAUAAUGUCUCCGGACCAAAGAUUUAUCACCCUUGGAGCGGUUUGCGUACUAUUAGUUUGUUGGUGGGGUAAAGGCCUACCAAGGCAAAGAUGGUUAGCGGGUGUGAGAGCAUGGCCCGUCUCACUGGGACUGAGACACUGCCCAGACACCUACGGGUGGCUGCAGUCGAGAAUCUUCCGCAAUGGACGAAAGUCUGACGGAGCGACGCCGCGUGCGGGAUGAAGGCCUUCGGGUUGUAAACCGCUGUCAUAGGGGAGGAAAUUUUGACCGAUCCUAAGAGGAAGCACAGGCUAAGUUCGUGCCAGCAGCCGCGGUAAUACGAACUGUGCGAACGUUAUUCGGAAUCACUGGGCUUAAAGGGUGCGUAGGCGGCUACAAAGGUCAGAUGUGAAAUCCCACGGCUCAACCGUGGAACUGCGUCUGAAACCAUGUAGCUUGAGGGAGUCAGAGGUAAGCGGAACUGA
rnacentral:rRNA from 1 species